rnacentral:lncRNA from 1 species
GCAGGGAGACUUCGCCCGGACUCCUACGGGAGCCGGAUCUCGUCCCCGACUCCGGCUGCAGGGAGACUCCACCCAGACUCCUACGCGAGCCGGACUCCGCCCCCAACUUCAAUUGCAGGUAGACUUCGCCCAGACUCCUACGGGAGCCGGACUUCAUCCCUGAGUUCAACUGCUGAAAGACUUCGUCCGGACUCCCAUGGGAGCCAAACUUUGCCCCCGACUUUGAUCGCAGGUAGACUCCGUCCGGACUCCUACGGGAGCCGGACUUCAUCCCCGACUUCAACCGCAAGAGGACUUCGCCCAGACUCCUACGGAAGCUAGACUUCGUCCCCAACUUCGGCUGCAGGAAGACUUCGUCUGGACUCCUACAGGAGCCGG